GACGAACGCUGGCGGUGUGCUUAAGACAUGCAAGUCGUGCGGACCGUAGCAAUACGGUCAGCGGCGGACGGGUGAGUAACACGUGGAUAACCUGCCUGGCUCCCCGGGAUAACAGGCCGAAAGGCCUGCUAAUACCGGGUAAGCUCACGGGGCCGCAUGGUCCUGGGAGAAAAGCUCCUGCAAGGGAGUGGGGUCAGAGGGGUCCGCGGCCCAUUAGCUAGUUGGGGGGGUAACGGCCCACCAAGGCGACGAUGGGUAGCCGGCCUGAGAGGGCGACCGGCCACACUGGGACUGAGACACGGCCCAGACUCCUACGGGAGGCAGCAGUCGGGAAUUUUGGGCAAUGGCCGAAAGGGCUGACCCAGCAACACCGCGUGAGUGAAGAAGGCCUUCGGGUUGUAAAGCUCUGUUGCCCGUGAAGAACGGUGCUUUCAGGAAAUGGGAAGCACUUGACGGUAGCGGGUGAGGAAGCUCCGGCUAACUACGUGCCAGCAGCCGCGGUAAUACGUAGGGAGCGAGCGUUGUCCGGAUUUAUUGGGCGUAAAGGGCGUGUAGGCGGCUUUUUAAGUCUGAAGUGAAACGCCAGGGCUCAACCCUGGAACUGCUUCGGAUACUGGGAAGCUUGAGUACUCUAGAGGGCAGUGGAAUUCCGGGUGUAGCAGUGAAAUGCGUAGAGAUCCGGAGGAACACCAGUGGCGAAGGCGACUGCCUGGGGAGAAACUGACGCUGAGGCGCGAAAGCUGGGGGAGCAAACGGGAUUAGAUACCCCGGUAGUCCCAGCCGUAAACGAUGAGUGCUAGGUGUAGGGGGUAUCGACCCCCCCUGUGCCGGAGUUAACGCAAUAAGCACUCCGCCUGGGGAGUACGGCCGCAAGGUUG
rnacentral:rRNA from 1 species